GUGCUUGCUUUGGCAGCACACAGACUAAAAAGUUGGAACAAUACAGAGAUUAGCAUGGAUCCUGCUCAAGAAUGCAGCAAAAAUUCAGGAAGUGUUCCAUAUUUUG
ensembl:snRNA U6 U6 spliceosomal RNA